rnacentral:rRNA from 1 species
UACGUAGGGGGCAAGCGUUGUCCGGAUUUAUUGGGCGUAAAGAGCGUGUAGGCGGUUAGGUAGGUCCGUUGUGAAAACUCGAGGCUCAACCUCGAGACGCCGAUGGAAACCAUCUGACUAGAGUCCGGAAGAGGAGAGUGGAAUUCCUGGUGUAGCGGUGAAAUGCGCAGAUAUCAGGAAGAACACCCGUGGCUAAGGCGGCGUCUCUAGUACGUGACUGACGCUGAGACGCGAAAGCGUGGGGAGCGAACAGG